rnacentral:rRNA from 1 species
UACGUAGGGGGCAAGCGUUGUCCGGAUUUAUUGGGCGUAAAGAGCGUGUAGGCGGCCUGGUAGGUCAGCUGUGAAAACUCGAGGCUCAACCUCGAGACGCCGGUUGAAACCAUCAGGCUAGAGUCCGGAAGAGGAGAGUGGAAUUCCCGGUGUAGCGGUGAAAUGCGCAGAUAUCGGGAAGAACACCCGUGGCUAAGGCGUCUCUCUAGUACGGUACUGACGCUGAGACGCGAAAGCGUGGGGAGCGAACAGG